AUAAUCAUGACAAUUAAAAAUUUGUUCAAUUUUGGUCUCCCACUCUAGAUAUGCCUCCGGAUCAUUCGCUCCCAUAAAGGAUGGAACUUUGAUCUUAAUACUCCUCAACCUAUCCUCCCUUGGCCUCUCAUCCCUCCUUCUAGGCCUACUUCCAUGAUCUUCCCCACCACUUCCAUCAUUAGUUAAACUAUUUUUUAACUCAUCAAUUUGUUCUUGAAAUUGUUCAGCUUGCACCUGCAACAUGGCUUGAAACCUUGUUGUGAGUGCAUCUAUUAGUAACUUAUUUGGACCUUCCUCAACCAUGAUUCCCUAAAACUAAUCCUCACAAGUGUUUACACUCACUCAAAUUGGCUUUUUUUUUUUU
rnacentral:lncRNA from 1 species